CAGUCGCCGCGGUAAUACAGAGGGUGCGAGCGUUAAUCGGAUUUACUGGGCGUAAAGCGUGCGUAGGCGGCUUCUUAAGUCGGAUGUGAAAUCCCUGAGCUUAACUUAGGAAUUGCAUUCGAUACUGGGAAGCUAGAGUAUGGGAGAGGAUGGUAGAAUUCCAGGUGUAGCGGUGAAAUGCGUAGAGAUCUGGAGGAAUACCGAUGGCGAAGGCAGCCAUCUGGCCUAAUACUGACGCUGAGGUACGAAAGCAUGGGGAGCAAACAGGAUUAGAUACCCGUGUAGUCCCUGUCGCUUAUAC
rnacentral:rRNA from 1 species